UUUUAUACACAUACGGGAAAGAACCACAGGGAUUGCCCCAGUAACGGCGAGUGAAGCGGCAACAGCUCAAAUUUGAAAUCUGGCCCUCGGGUCCGAGUUGUAAUUUGUAGAGGAUGCUUUUGGCGCGGUGCCUUCUGAGUUCCCUGGAACGGGACGCCAGAGAGGGUGAGAGCCCCGUAUAGUCGGACACCAAGCCUUUGUAAAGCUCCUUCGACGAGUCGAGUAGUUUGGGAAUGCUGCUCAAAAUGGGAGGUAAAUUUCUUCUAAAGCUAAAUACCGGCCAGAGACCGAUAGCGCACAAGUAGAGUGAUCGAAAGAUGAAAAGCACUUUGAAAAGAGGGUUAAACAGCACGUGAAAUUGUUGAAAGGGAAGCGCUCAUGACCAGACUUGCGCCCGGCGGAUCAUCCAGCGUUCUCGCUGGUGCACUCCGCCGGGCUCAGGCCAGCAUCGGUUCCGGUGGGGGGAUAAAAGUCGUGGGAAUGUGACUCCUCCGGGAGUGUUAUAGCCCGCUUCAUAAUACCCUCGCCGAGACCGAGGUACGCGCUCCGCAAGGAUGCUGGCGUAAUGGUUAUCAGCGACCCGUCUUGAAACACGGACCAAGGAGUGAAUGUCUUCAGCGAGUGUUUGGGUGUCAAACCCGCACGCGAAAUGAAAGUGAACGUAGGUGAGAGCUUCGGCGCAUCAUCGACCGAUCCUGAUGUAUUCGGAUGGAUUUGAGUAUGAGCUGAAGGCAUUCGACCCGAAAGAUGGUGAACUAUGCCUGUAUAGGGUGAAGCCAGAGGAAACUCUGGUGGAGGCUCGCAGCGGUUCUGACGUGCAAAUCGAUCGUCAAAUAUGGGCAUGGGGGCGAAGACAAUCGACCAUCUACGGCGGCC
rnacentral:rRNA from 1 species